rnacentral:rRNA from 1 species
GAUGAACGCUAGCGGCAGGCUUAAUACAUGCAAGUCGAACGGUAAGUGUUGUAGCAAUAUAACACCAAGAGUGACGUACGGGUGCGUAACACGUAUGCAACCUACCCUUUACAGGAGGAUAGCUCGGGGAAACUCGAAUUAACCCUCCAUAAUAUCAUGGUGUGGCAUCACAUUAUGAUUAAAACUCAGGUGGUAAAGGAUGGGCAUGCGUCUGAUUAGUUAGUUGGCGGGGUAACGGCCCACCAAGACGAUGAUCAGUAGGGGACCUGAGAGGGUGAUCCCCACACUGGCACUGAGAUACGGGCCAGACUCCUACGGGAGGCAGCAGUAGGGAAGUAUUGGUCAAUGGAUGCAAGUCUGAUCCAGCCAUGCCGCGUGCAGGAAGAAAGCCUUCUGGGUUNUAAACUGCUUUUUCUGGGGAUAAAGACCGGUGCGCCGGGCAUUGAAAGUACCAGGAGAAUAAGCCACGGCUAACUACGUGCC